AGUGAAGAAGGUUUUCGGAUCGUAAAACUCUGUUGUUAGGGAAGAACAAGUGCCGUUCGAAUAGGGCGGCGCCUUGACGGUACCUAACCAGAAAGCCACGGCUAACUACGUGCCAGCAGCCGCGGUAAUACGUAGGUGGCAAGCGUUGUCCGGAAUUAUUGGGCGUAAAGCGCGCGCAGGUGGUUUCUUAAGUCUGAUGUGAAAGCCCACGGCUCAACCGUGGAGGGUCAUUGGAAACUGGGGAACUUGAGUGCAGAAGAGGAAAGUGGAAUUCCAAGUGUAGCGGUGAAAUGCGUAGAUAUUUGGAGGAACACCAGUGGCGAAGGCGACUUUCUGGUCUGUAACUGACACUGAGGCGCGAAAGCGUGGGGAGCAAACAGGAUUAGAUACCCUGGUAGUCCACGCCGUAAACGAUGAGUGCUAAGUGUUAGAGGGUUUCCGCCCUUUAGUGCUGCAGCUAACGCAGUAAGCACUCCGCCUGGGGAGUACGGUCGCAAGACUGAAACUCAAAGGAAUUGACGGGGGCCCGCACAAGCGGUGGAGCAUGUGGUUUAAUUCGAAGCAACGCGGAGAACCUUACCAGGUCUUGACAUCCUCUGACGACCCUAUAGAUAGGGCUUUCCCCUUCGGGGGACAGAGUGACAGGUGGUGCAUGGUUGUCGUCAGCUCGUGUCGUGAGAUGUUGGGUUAAGUCCCGCAACGAGCGCAACCCUUGAUCUUACUUGCCAGCAGUCACUUGGGCACUCUAAGAUGACUGCCGGUGACAGACCUGGAGGAUGGUGCUGGAUGACGUCAAAUCAUCAUGCCUCCUUAUGACCUGCGCGACACGACGUGCUGAGAAUGUCACAGUCACAAAGAGCUGCAACAACCGCGCGCUUCUAGCACGAUCCCAUAAAUACCUGAUCUCAGCUUCGGCAUCGUACGGCAUGCAACUCGGCUGCGUGAAGGCUAGUAA
rnacentral:rRNA from 2 species